UGGGGUUGUAGGACACUCUAUACGGAGUUACAAAGGACGACAUUAGACGAAUCAUCUGGAAAGAUGAAUCAAAGAAGGUAAUAAUCCUGUAGUCGAAAAUGUUGUCUCUCUUGAGUGGAUCCUGAGUACGACGGAGCACGUGAAAUUCCGUCGGAAUCAGGGAGGACCAUCUCCUAAGGCUAAAUACUCUCUAGUGACCGAUAGUGAACCAGUACCGUGAGGGAAAGGUGAAAAGCACCCCGGAAGGGGAGUGAAAUAGAACCUGAAACCGUGUGCUUACAAGUAGUCAGAGCCCGUUAAUGGGUGAUGGCGUGCCU
rnacentral:rRNA from 1 species